UGGUUCUGUGUUCCUGCCGUAAUUAGGAGGCCACACAGCUCUCCAACACUCCUUUAAACAAAUAUCUCUUCCUUAGGAAGAAGAGAGAGGAGCAAAGAAUAUACAUCUCGCCACCCACCGGACAAGCCAGGCGAACCUGUGUCUUUGCUUGAAAAGUUUUCUAAAUAAAUUACUUUGGUGACGCUAAGCUACGAUGAACAUAGGCUGGGCCCGGCUCUUCUCCACAACAUUGUGCGGAUGUGAAGGAUGUGGAAUCUCCUCCCCCACCGCUUUCUUUUUCUUCCCCAUAUAAAUCAGUCAUAUAAAUCAUUCGCAUUGUUUAAGCUACAUUGAUCAAUCUAAUGGCUUGUAAUAGGCUCCUAAUUGCCACUUGCAGAAUCCUGCAGGCUCACGUUUGAACAGGGAAGGCCCUCAAUGCUAGCCAAGUCCACCUUAGGCUUACGACUGCGCGGUUGCAGAACCCAGAAAGAGCGCCAUGAUGGCCCUGGCACUCCAGUCUCAGUGCCUCCGGGAGGGAGGGGAGGAGGUGUUACUGUGGAUAUUUGCUUUUCUUUUCUUUUUUCUCAAAUCUCCCUUCCAAAUCAGCAAUUCAUUAAUGAGCAAAGCCCAGCUGCAAUUUAUGGAUUAUUGUGGGCUGAUUAUUUUGUUAAUAUCAGACAAGAAACUUUCCUUGUUUGCAUCCCCCAUGUCUGUAUUUACAGUAAAAACUUCGUAAGUCCACAAACUGAUAUGCUUUUAGUCAUAUCUUCUCUUUUUAUUUACUAAGUUUUAACAGGGCAACAUCAGGAGUUGUGAUAGGAAAUAAUAUGAGGGGAGGGGUGGAAUGUUAAAGGGAAGGAAGGAAAAUCCAAAAUUUGUCCAGUAGAGUCCUGGAGCUGUGCCCACAGUCCUGUUUAACAUCUAGUGGUUGUAGUGCCUUCUCCAAGCCCUGGAUGGAGGAGGAAGGAAAGAGUUGGAGGCCUCCUCAAAAGCUGCCUGUGAAAGGGUAAAACUGAGGUACCCUGGGGGAAGCUGUCUCUAGUGACCAGGAUCCUCUGGCCUCUGGCUUUUCUUGAUACCAGUUCAGGGUCUAUGUGAAAGGUUGCUUUAAUGUCUCCAAAGAUGGUUCCAUUAGAGUUGGCUGAGACAACAAAUGUUGCAUUUCAGUAGAGAUGCUCUUAAAAACAAGAAAGCCAACAGAGAAUACCACAUUUGCUUAGGUCUAAAGACCCUUCUGCAGUGGCUGGUAAGGGAGGAAGGAAGGUAAAACCCCAAGCCAAAUAGGCCCCCUAUAGUUUCCGAGUGAUGCAGUAAACAAAUCUAUGAUGCUUGUUGAAUAAUCUUCCAAUAAUUGCAGUCAUUAAAAUCAUCACACAGUCUACAGUCACCUUCCUUCCUUUGACACACCAGAAUCUUUCCUUUAAUUGUUAAUGCAUUUUUGGCUCAGAUAAACAGAUGGAGCCAAGCUUAAAAUAUAUGGCCCAGAUACAUCUAUCAGCAGAAAAUUAGUUGUGUAGCAAACGUUUUUACUGUACUUAAUAGAGUAGGGGUUUUCAAUUUCUACAGCAGACCCUACAGAGGCAAGAAAGAUUUGCAUCUUCUACCACCUCUAAAUAGCAGUGGCACAUCUGAGAUA